rnacentral:misc_RNA from 1 species
GAUGAAGAACGUAGCGAAAUGCGAUACGUAGUGUGAAUUGCAGAAUUCAGUGAAUCAUCGAAUCUUUGAACGCACAUUGCACCUCUCGGUAUUCCGGGAGGUAUGCCUGUUCGAGCGUCAUUUGUAUCCUCAAGCUCUGCUUGGUGUUGGGUGUUUGUUCCGCCUCUGUGUGUGAACUCGCCUCAAAACAAUUGGCAGCCGGCGUACUUGUUUCGGAGCGCAGCACAUUUUGCGAUCCAGAUCAACGUACAGCGGCAUCCAAGAAGCCUUAUUUAACGCUCUUGACCUCGGAUCAGGUAGGGAUACCCGCUGAACUUAAGCAUAUCAAUAAGCGGAGGA